GUCAGAAAAAAACUUCCGAUCCCCAGUUACCUUUUCUCCUCCAGCCCAUUCUUACCCUAGCAGCAGCCGCCGCAGAUCAAGUCAUCCUCCUCCCUUAUUCUCUGCUUCCGCCUCCGGCCAUCCGACGACUGGCGCCGCAGCUGCCUCAUCAGCGUUGCCUUUACCUCCUAGCCACAGCACUCGACCUUGCCUACUUCUUCCUCAAAGCCGAGCAGGGACACGGCACGGCCGCGGAGCUUUGAGGCCAGGAGAUCAACUGGGGUUCGAGACACCGCUAGGCCUCCGCCACCGCCUGCAGGGCCCUGUGCCGCGACGGGGAUUGCUGCUGCUACCCGUGGGUCCUUAAGGUUCGUUUGUUGCACAGAAAUACAUCAAUCUCUACUCCUAUUCGAGCUUUGUAUUCAUCUGAGUGAUCUUCUAUUAAGAGGACCCGUGUGUGGUUGGACUGCUGAUUGAAGAAAUAAAAGGAUGUGGUGGCUCCCGCUGCAAUUGCACUUCUGGCCAUCUUGCAGAAAUCACAUCACAGGUUUGUAGAUUCGUUGUGAAUAGGAAAUGAGUGCAGUUUGGAGUUGAUAAAUAUUUGCGUGCUAUAUGAUCUGCUUCUACAUGCACGAAUAAACAUUCAUAUGAAAGAAGAAUCAAAUAUUGUUUGGUAGGAACCAUGUCAACUUACUCUUAUUGCAAUAUUCCUCACUUAAUUAAAAACUCAUAUAUUAGUGUUAGCAAUUUGACCAUCUGAUAAGUUAAAAACAAACGUUUCCUUUAUAAUCACUAGAAAGUUAUAGUGAGGGGCCUUCUUUGCUUACUGCAUCUGAUUCUACUUAACUGGAAAUGGCAUAGCUAUGAUAAGUUUCAUUACAAGUUAAACAUCUGUUGUAAGUCAGGCAGAAAGAUAUAGUGUUUGUGCUUGCAUGCAAACAGGUGUUUAGCAACGUGAAGAUAUCAGUGUUGUAGAAUUGUACGUGUUUUAACAACUAAUCUAGUUGAGUAUACCCUAUUUACAUGUUUUUGAUCAAAUAUGUAGUAGAAAUUACUGUACCCUAGUUGGCUGGAGGGUAAGCCUUACCGCCUUAGAGGAAGAACCAUAACUUUGAUUUUUCAUGAAAUUGGCUGACUAGUUUAUUUUCAUACUUGUUGUUAGGAUCGAUAAAGAUAAACCAACAGAGAGCGCUCGCAACAACUUGUUUCAGCUAGCCGCAAGCUGGCAAGCUAAUAAGAACUUCUUGUUGAAGGUCAAGUAGACUCAUUCAUCAGUCAGGUCUUUAAACAAGUCUUCUAUAGCUUCAGGUUUUUUUUUUUAUGAUGACUAUUGAUCUAUUCUUAAUAGGGAAACUUCCAAGUCGUCUGUGGCUUUGGCAUUCAGGUCUUGGUGUAGACCCCUUUACACUUAGCGUCACAGCUGUGAAUGAUCAUAUGAAAAGGGGACGAUGUGGUACGGAUGUGUAAUCUGGGUCGAGGUUCUCAAGAAGGCUAGUUACGAGAAGGCCUAUGCAAACUACCUGAUGCUGACACCAAACAAGGAGCACCUGACCUACUGUUUUUUGGCCACAUCGGUUCUAAAAUAGGAACUUUCUUUUUGCAGGCCCAUAAGAUCAGCAAGGACCGCCUCAGUCAAAUGCUACAUUAAAAGGCAGAGCACGAGAGGGAAUAUAUAUAGGAUUAGUUAGAAUAUCAUAUUAUGAUGUAAGAUUGUAAGACGUGUAAUCUUAAGAUAAUUUUCAUGUAUGGAUGCUGAUUUUAGUUAUAAAUAUAGAAAUAUUUCUUCA